rnacentral:misc_RNA from 1 species
GAUGAAGAACGUAGCGAAAUGCGAUACGUAAUGUGAAUUGCAAAUUCAGUGAAUCAUCGAGUCUUUGAACGCACAUUGCGCCCCCUGGUAUUCCGGGGGGCAUGCCUGUCCGAGCGUCAUUGCUGCCCUCAAGCACGGCUUGUGUGUUGGGCCCCGUCCUCCGAUCCCGGGGGACGGGCCCGAAUGGCAGCGGCGGCACCGCGUCCGGUCCUCGAGCGUAUGGGGCUUUGUCACCCGCUCUGUAGGCCCGGCCGGCGCUUGCCGAUCAACCCAAAUUUUUAUCCAGGUUGACCUCGGAUCAGGUAGGGAUACCCGCUGAACUUAAGCAUAUCAAUAAGCGGAGGA